CAGCCGCCGCGGGAAUACGAAGGGUGCAAACGUUGCUCGGAAUUAUUGGGCGUAAAGGGUGCGUAGGCGGUUUGACAAGUCUUGUGUGAAAUCUCUGGGCUCAACCCAGAGUCUGCACGGGAAACUGUCGGGCUAGAGGAUGGGAGAGGUGAGUGGAAUUUCCGGUGUAGCGGUGAAAUGCGUAGAUAUCGGAAGGAACACCUGUGGCGAAAGCGGCUCACUGGACCAUUUCUGACGCUGAUGCACGAAAGCUAGGGGAGCAAACAGGAUUAGAUACCCGGGUAGUCCCUGUCUCUUAUAC
rnacentral:rRNA from 1 species